GCCGCGGCCACGAGAGGGCGUUAGUGUGCGGUAGACUGUAUAUUUUUAUUUUCCAACGAAGUACGCGUGACACUCGUAGGCGAGUGACGGUUCUUGACUACGAUCCCGUCAAUGUGUCAGUUAUCAGCCGGUGCAGUCCAGUGCAAACGUAGACAGUUCGCCGUGGAAGCUGGCUGGAGGCGUUACGUUACGUCGUAUCGUGCCACGCAACGCCACAACGCGACGUGCCGCGCCAAGGACGCGGCGACGACAGGCGUCGACGACGCCUUCGCCUCUUUUUUUCCACUUCCCCUUCUCUCUCGAUCGAGUUCACGCCGGUCGACGUGUUACGUCGAGUGUCGCUUCGAAAAUUCGUGCGCUUCGUCGUAAUUUCCGUGACCCCCGGUGUGCCGCGCGAGCAUUUUUCGCGGCGUCGCGCACGUAAAAAGGAAAGAAAGAAAAAGAGAGAGAGAGAGAGAGAGAGAGAGAGGCAGAGAAGAGGAAAAAUCCUCAUUGGAAAUUAGAAUCUCGGUUCGCGCGGGAGUCGUACGGAAACUUACCUACUGACGACCAAGUACGAUCCUUGUCCUUCGUUCCACUACUGCCGUUUUCAUCUCACAAAAGUUGUGCAAAUGGCAGAAGAAUAUUUUAAUGCUCGGAAUUAUGGCAAAGUUCUUAGGUUCGCGGAACGCAGUCAAGCUGGCUGCCUCCGGCGGUAAUCCCUCCUCUGCCAUCGCCGCAUCCGCACAUCCUCCAGUGCUUUGGAGUUCCCGCAGAAAGCCAGGCCUGUACUUGCGGAGCAUCGAGGAGCCGAGGAUGACGGCGGAAACGGCGGGACCUUGUGUACAAGGAAUACAGGGCGUCCAGAGUAGCGUAGCCAGUCAAAGUAUGCUGCAACAGGAUGGAACCAGUGGCAGUGGUGGCGGCGUUUAUUAUUCCUCGACAUCGACUUGGACGUACGAUCCAGAAUACGCCCGUAUGGAGGCUUGGCUUGACGAGCAUCCUGACUUCGUUAACGAUUACUUUCUCAGGAAAGUGACACGACAGACCGUUGACGUGUGGCUAGUAUCACAUGCAACGCCAACCUCAUCAUCGAGUAGUUGCGUAGAGCUUUCGAGUCCAAUCCAUGCCACGGCCGGCAACUCGUCCUCCGGACGAAGUGGUGCCGGUGGCUCGGGAGCUACGACACCGGUACGCAAAAUCUCGGCACACGAGUUCGAGCGUGGAGGCCUUCUAAAGCCGAUCGUCAACACAAUCGAUGGCACGCCAACCUUCUUGAGCGUAUCAAUGAGUGACGCGAAUCAAACGAGUGGGCCACAAGUCGGACCUGGUAAUUCCAACCGUCCACAAAGACGGUCGCGUCACGAGCUUAGGCACCUCGACGAGAAAGAUCUUAUUUUCGAGCUGGUCAAAGACAUCUGCAAUGAGUUGGAUGUGAGAUCAUUGUGUCACAAGAUCCUGCAGAAUGUGAGCACACUUCUUCACGCCGAUCGCGGCUCGCUGUUCCUUGUCCAGGGAGAGAGAAGCGGCACCACCGUUGCCGCUGCUGCUGCUGCUGCCGUUAUCACCACUAAUGCACCAUCCUCUCUGAAUCACGAGGCUGCCGCGAGCAAUUCCAACAUCGAAAAUAAUCUACAGCGUAAUGAUCAAUCCUAUUUGAGAAGCAGAUGUCUGGUAUCAAAAUUAUUCGAUGUCUGUUCAAGAUCGACAUUGAUGGAGAUGGAAAAGAAAGAUGAAAUUAAAAUUCCUUGGGGUACCGGAAUCGUCGGAUACGUCGCUGAAAGUGGGGAACCUGUCAACAUACCAGAUGCUUACAAGGAUUCGAGAUUUAAUCGCGAAAUUGACGCUUUAACGGGAUACCGCACGCGUGCCUUGCUGUGCAUGCCUAUUAAAGAUUGCAAUGGUGAUGUAAUCGGAGUGGCACAGGUGAUCAACAAGCUUGGCGGCGAAGGACAAUUUACUGCGCAAGAUGAAAAGGUUUUCGCUGGUUAUUUACAAUUCUGUGGUAUCGGUUUAAGAAAUGCUCAACUUUAUGAAAAGAGCCAAUUAGAGGUGAAGAGAAAUCAGGUUUUAUUGGAUUUGGCUAGAAUGAUUUUCGAGGAACAAAGUACGAUAGAGCACAUGGUUUUUAGAAUUCUCACGCAUACGCAAUCAUUGAUUCAAUGCCAACGUGUUCAGGUGUUGCUCGUGCACAAAGCUUCAAAGGGAAGUUUCUCGCGCGUUUUUGAUUUCGAAGCGAAUGAUCUCGCUGGCGAGGAUUCUGAUUCUCGCACUAGUCCUUUCGAGAGUAGAUUUCCCAUUAAUGUUGGUAUUACGGGUUAUGUAGCAACUACCGGUGAAACAGUCAAUAUAUUGAAUGCUUACGAAGAUCCGAGAUUCGAUCCACUGGUGGACGAUGGUACCGGUUUUAAGCAUCGAACAAUUCUUUGUAUGGCCAUCAAGAAUUCAUCCGGUCAAAUAAUAGGCGUCAUUCAACUAAUUAAUAAAUUCGAUGAUCUUCCUUUUACAAAGAACGAUGAAAAUUUUGUUGAAGCGUUUGCGAUCUUCUGCGGAAUGGGAAUUCAUAAUACGCACAUGUAUGAAAAAGCUAUAAUAGCGAUGGCAAAACAAAGCGUCACUUUAGAAGUACUGAGUUACCAUGCAUCAGCAUCAUUGGAGGACGCACAAAGAUUGAAGAAUUUAAGAGUCCCGUCAUCAGCGCAUUUUCAAUUGCACGAUUUCAAGUUUGAUGAUAUACAUAUGGAAGAUGGCGACACUCUUACUGCGUGUCUUAGAAUGUUUCUCGAUUUGGACUUUGUUGAACGAUUUCACAUCGAUUAUGACAUACUUUGUCGUUGGUUAUUGAGCGUAAAGAAAAACUAUCGGAAUGUUACAUAUCAUAAUUGGCGGCAUGCUUUUAACGUAGCCCAAAUGAUGUUUGCUAUUUUAACGGCUACGCAAUGGUGGAAAAUCUUUGGUGAAAUUGAAUGUCUUGCCCUCAUCAUUGCCUGUUUGUGUCAUGAUCUCGAUCAUCGUGGAACAAACAAUUCUUUUCAAAUUAAAGCUUCAUCACCGUUGGCACAGUUGUAUUCAACUUCAACGAUGGAACAUCAUCACUUUGAUCAGUGUCUGAUGAUUUUGAGCAGCCAGGGCAAUCAAAUCCUAUCAAAUCUUUCACCAGAAGAAUAUUCGCGCGUGGUAAAGGUUCUUGAAGAAGCGAUACUUUCUACUGAUCUGGCAGUUUACUUCAGAAAGCGUGGCGCUUUUCUUAAUUUAGCACGCAGUGGUGGCUAUAACUGGGCAUUUGGUGAUCAUCGAGAGCUUCUACGCGGGAUGUUGAUGACAGUCUGUGAUUUAGCCGCCAUUACGAAACCAUGGGAGGUUGAAAAGAGGGUAGCCGAACUCGUUAGUAGCGAGUUUUUCGAACAGGGUGACAUAGAAAGGCGAACACUCAAUAUUACACCUAUUGACAUUAUGAAUCGAGAGAAAGAGGAUCAAUUACCGAUGAUGCAAGUUGGUUUCAUUGAUUCGAUCUGUCUACCUAUCUAUGAGGGUGUGUAAAAAAAAUGUGGAAGGGAACAUUGUUUAAAAAAAGAACUCCAGACAACAUUAUCGCAUCAAUUAUUCAGAGAGCUUCAACAGAGUUCAGACAGCUAUAGCUAAUUAUACGUUCUCCAAGAAAAUAAAAUAUCUCAAGUCAUGAACUAUUACGUUCCAAUUCAACAGAAUGAGACGUGCAAGAGACACGCAAACAUCGUCUAGUGCAUUACAUCUUCGAAACCUCGCUACAUGCUUCGUAUCUUGAUGAGGAAAUAUGCAUGACAUCGACAGCGUACAAGUUCCUGGACAUUGGAAUCGUUGUGGAAUCUAUAUCUCAUGUGCAAUUGCGAUUGGCGAUAAUCAAGGCAACCGCCGUUCAUACCUCCUGCUAUACCUACGUAGAACAUUUAUCGAAAAACAUACAGAUAUCGAGCGAUUAAUACAAUCAACAAUCCUAUUAUCAUCAUCGAUUCAAGAUCUAAAUAUGGAAUUUAUUAAAAUAUACGAAUAACGUAAAAUUAACAUUAAAUUAAUGCACAUGUUUGUAACCAACAAUUAUGCUUUUCUUAUUUGAAUUUGAGCAAUGUGUUGAGCAUAUAUUCUAUAAACUGAAUCAAUAUACGUACGGUGUUAGUAAGUAAUUCGAAUAUUUUGUGUCAUUUUUAAGACAAAAUUGUACUAAUAAAAGCGAUGCUGCAAACAUUUUGUACAAAAUUUAUGAUAAAAAUUCUAUUAUAGAAUGUGAACUAAUAGUCUAUGGUUUAGAUUAUAUUACUACAUACUGUAUUAUAUGAUAAAUAAAUGUAUGUUAAAAAAUA